rnacentral:lncRNA from 1 species
CAGUCCCGAAACCUCGCGUGAAAUUCGCUUCCUGUCUCCUCGGAGUUUGGGAUUGUCUGUGUACAGCUCUCGUCCAAGUCGUCAGAACCCCUCUAGCAGGAGCAGCGUCUCUGCUGACUGAAUGCUCCUUUGAGGAUGGCUCGGUCAAAGUCAGAACUGCAUGACGACCGUAGUAUAGCCCGUCGCAGUGGAGAGCGGAACCGCCGCGGGCGCACGCGCAGUCAGAACUUAUGGCGCCUCCUGGGCGGGGCCUAUAUAAACCCCUCCUCUCCCUUGCCUCAAAGCUGGAUUUCCUCCUGCUCCUCCUCAUCCUAGGAUCUUGGAUUGCGGUUUUCUGGUAGCUGUUUGGGGGCCGGCAGGGGCGGGGCCUCCGGGGAUGCUUUGCUUCCUGCCCCAAGUCCAAAGUGCCACGGUGGCGUUGGUGGAGGUCUCCAGACUGAACAGUUUUGGCCCAGACAUGCUCGAAUUUGCAACCUGUAAUCCGGACCCCAGAGACACCCUACGGGGAGUCACCCGCCUGCCUCGCUGCGGCCGCUAGUCAGUUCCGACCUCUAAUCACCAGGCUCCUCUGCCGGUUCAAGCACCUGCCCUAUAGUGGGAGGGAGGUAGCCAGAUGUGGAUAGCAGCUGGAAACGGUUAUGUCUAGUCUGCGCCCCAGUGCCGGGAGGAAGCUGGCCCUGAGCCUGCCCUCCAGAAAUGUCCAUACUGUUGAAGUAAAUUUUACAUCGAG